rnacentral:rRNA from 1 species
UACAGAGGGGGCAAGCGUUAUUCGGAAUUAUUGGGCGUAAAGGGCGCGUAGGCGGCUUGGCAAGUGGAUGGUGAAGUCCCUCGGCUUAACCGAGGAACUGCCGUCCAAACUGCUUCGCUUGAGACCGGGAGAGGUGAGUGGAAUUCCCAGUGUAGCGGUGAAAUGCGUAGAUAUUGGGAGGAACACCAGUGGUGAAGGCGGCUCACUGGACCGGUACUGACGCUGACGCGCGAAAGCGUGGGGAGCAAACGGG